CGGGCCGUGGCGCAGUCUGGCUAGCGCGUUUGACUGGGGGUCAAAAGGUCGCAGGUUCGAAUCCUGUCGGCCCGA
rnacentral:tRNA from 1 species